UGUUCGAGCGUUAUUUAAACCCUCAAGCCUAGCUUGGUGUUGGAGCAUGCUAUACCAGCAGCUCUUAAAAUCAGUGGCGGUGCCUCUAGGCUCUAAGCGUAGUAAUUAUUCUCGCUAUAGAACCCUAGUAGAUACUUGCCAUCAAUAUAUAAACUUUUAUGGUUAACCUCGGAUCAGGUAGGGAUACCCGCUGAACUUAA
rnacentral:misc_RNA from 1 species